rnacentral:rRNA from 1 species
UUGCGGUUAAAAAGCUCGUAGUUGGAUCUCGGCGGGCAGGGGGUGGUUCGCUCUUCAGCGCUACUGCCCCGCUUUGCCCGUGUGAUUGGCGGAGGUUUCGGGGUGCUCUUCGUUGAGUGACUCGGAGCGCCGUCAGGUUUACUUUGAAAAAAUUAGAGUGCUCAAAGCAGGCUUUUCACGCUUGAAUAUUCGUGCAUGGAAUAAUGGAAUAGGAACUCGUUUCUAUUUUGUUGGUUUUCGGAAAUCGAGUUAAUGAUUAACAGGGACAAUUGGGGGCAUUAGUAUUCAGACGACAGAGGUGAAAUUCUUGGACCGUCUGAAGACUGACUACUGCGAAAGCAUUUGCCAAGAGUGUUUUCAUUAAUCAAGAACGAAAGUUAGAGGUUCGAAGGCGAUUAGAUACCGCCCUAGUUCUAACCAUAAACGAUGCCAGCUAGCGAUCUGCCUGCGCUUUUACUGUAGACUGGGCAGGAAGCUUCCGGGAAACCAAAGCAUUUGGGUUCCAGGGGAAGUAUGGUUGCAAAGCUGAAACUUAAAGGAAUUGACGGAAGGGCACCACCAGGAGUGGAGCCUGUGGCUUAAUUUGACUCAACACGGGAAAUCUCACCAGGCCCGGACACUGGAAAGAUUGACAGAUUGAUAGCUCUUUCUUGAU